ensembl:lncRNA
UUCUGUCGUUUAAACCAUCAGUACCUCUCACUGUCCUAUUCUAGUAGCUUCUUACAAGUCUUCCCUAUGCACUCUUGCUUUUCUAUAAUCAGCUCCCUACACAGCAGCUAAAACAGUGUUUACACAUGUCCAUGCAUGUCUCUGUCCUUUCUAGAAUUCCCCUGUGGCUCCCAUUGCACUUAGAAUAAUUCUGAACUCUGUCUUGGCUCCUAAGGCUGUGAUGAUCACGGUAAGCCCUGGCUCCCAGUCUCCUUUCCUGCCGCCUCCACACUCGCCCCCCGCCCCCCAGCGGCACCUCCUCCCUCCUCUUCACCGCACACAGAAAGUGCAUUCCCAUGUCCAGGCUGUGGAACUCACUCUUAACUCUGCCUGCACUUUCCCCUCCUAGAUCUUGACAUUUCUGUUCUUCUUUAUCACCUAGGUUUCAGUUUAAAAGUCACCCUCCAGUCACUCUCUGCAUGAGAGAAAUCGGAGUCCUUUUUGGCACGUUCCCCUCAGCCCUCAUAUCCAGUUCAUCAAUAAGGUUUAUUUUCUCUCUGCCUUCUCACUCAAGUCCAUUUAUUUCUCCCUCUUCCCACUGCCAUCACCCUAAUAUGACCCACUUUCCUCUCUUGCCUGGACUAUAGCAUAGCCUACCAGCCAUCACCCACAUUUGUACUUGUUCCCUUCCAAUCUGUGUACCUCCCCUCCAGUCACACAACUGCCUUAUGCACACAGACAACUUCAUUGAUUUCCCAUUGCUCUUAGGGUAAGUUUCAGAAUCCUUAACAAGGUCUCUAAGUCUCUGAAUGAUCUGGUUCUGGUGUUUCUCUUCAGCUAUAUCUUUUCAUACAUAAGCAUUGUUUGGGUUCCUUAACCAUUUCACACCCCUUUCCAACUAAAUACAUGUCUUUCCAACGCGUGACGCUGUUUCACCGUCUCCCUUUUGCCCUCUUACUCCUGCUCAUCCUUCAGGUCUUAGCUUAGAAGUCAUUUUCUCAGGAUCGCGUUUCCUGACUACCCCCAAAGACUGGAUUUAUUCCUUCCAUCAUUAGCGUCACAGCAUCUUGUACUUUCCAUGUGUAAUACAUAUUAGGAUUAUACUUAGUUCAUUCAUCUUUAUUGUCCACCAACCUUGCUAGUAUGUUUCAUUAGCCAAAGUAUUGUGAGCUCUGAUGCCAUGUUGCCUGGGCUCUAAAUCCUGGUUCCUUUUCUUCUUAGCUGUCUGACUUCAAGCAGAUUAACUUAGACUUUCUUAAUGUUAAUAUACCUACCUACCAUAUAAACUUGUCUUGAGGUUUAAAUGAGUUAAUAAAUAGAAACCACUAAGGGUGGUGUCUGGCAGAUAAUAAGCUCUCAAUAAAUCAUCAUGAUUGUCGUUACUAGGAUCAGGGCUGGGACUAGGCCUGUCUCAUUCAUCAUGGCUCAUCCAAUAAGUAUUUGUUGAAUAAGUAAACAAUAUUUUUCAUGAGUCAAUUAAAAUUAGAAUUAGCCUUAUUAAAUGCCUAAAUGUACACAAGGCUCGUUAGGGGAUAUAGAGAUUAAUGAGAUACUUUUCACAAUCAAGGAGUCUUCAGCUCAGCGAUUGAGAGCAAGAUACAUGAAUGAAGUGUCUUCAGAGAGAAGACCUGUAGCUUGUACAUCGUGGCGUCCUGGGCAUCUUCCCCAAGCCUAGUCCCUGGGUUGUGCUCCAUGCUAGUACGUGGAGCCACCAAGCUGUCUCACAGCGGAGAACAUGGAAGCUUGGGGACAACUGGGGGAGGCUGGCCAGAGGAAACGGCAGUGAAUCCUGCCUUGAUGAACAGGCAGGGUUUUAAGAGGAAGAGCUCAGAGGAGGGGCUGGGAGUGCCGGGAAGUGGGGGAGGCAUUCCAGGAAGGAAAAUGAAAGGCCUGGAUCUGGGAGAGCGAAUGGAAACCGUCGUUUGGAAUGAGGGCGUAGUGGUUCUCCCAUGGGAUCCCGGGACCAGCAGCAUCAGUAUCACGUGAGAACGUGUUAGAGAUGCCAGCGUGGGCCUCCAGGAUUUCCUGAACCUGAAAAAUCUGGGGGCAGAGGAGGCCCAGAAAUCUGCGUUUCCACAUUUCCUCCAGCUGAUUGUGAUGCUUACUAAGGUUGGAGAAUGUUAAAGUUUGAAACCCGUGGGUCUAGAGCAAUGGCGAUCUGUGAAUACCAGAGAUCGAAAGGGUGUUCUCAAGAGAUUCAUGUGGUAGCGAUGAGAGCACAAUUCACGAGUCCCACACACAACAAACAGGCAAGUGUGCCCAUUACUGGGGAUUCAAAGAUGCACGAAAACCACUGGUGCCCCUGAAUGCCAUCAUAUAGUUGUGGGUUUUUGGGUUUUUUUUUUUUUGCUUUUUAGGGCUGCACCCUCGGCACAUGGAAGUUCCCAGGCCAGAGGUCGAAUCAGAGCUACAACUGCCAGCCACAGCCACAGCCACAACCACGGGGAUCCGAGCCGAGUCUGUGACCUAGACCAGAGCUCACUGCAGCAAUGGAUCCCCAACCCACUGAGGGAGGCCAGGGUGGAUACUAGUCAGAUUUUUUUCUGCUGCGCUACAAUGGGAACUCCCACCAUAAAGUUUUUAAUUGAUUUUUUUCAAACACAUAUUGGACUUAAGGCAUAAAGUAAAAAAAAAUCGAUGUUAGAAUACAAGUUAUUGAGAAGCACAGGGUAAUAACAUUUUUGCAAAUUUGCCCCAAGAUGGUCUUCCAGAUCCACAAGUCAAAUAUCAAAAUUCUUCUAAGGGCUCACCAAGAAGUCUCAAAUGCUUAAAAAACAAAGAAGAAAAUAGAAAAAAAUACAGUGGUUAUCAUAUCUAGUUUGGCUUUUUAUCUAAUAAAAAUGUGUAAUUUGGCAAGUACUUACAAAUAACAGCCUGAAAACCCCUUUUAUAUCAUCAUUAGAACUUCACAAUUAUAAAAAUGAGCCCGUUGAUUUUUAAACUGCAAAAUUUAGGAAUUCUAAACAUCAGCUACUAAAGCAGUGAAAUCCUGAUGAUGUAACAUAUAAUUACAUUUUAAUCUACAUUUUAAUAUACAUCCGUCCCCAAAUUACAUACAGUAUCAUUUUGAAACUUGUUACUACAUCAUCCUUUUUUCUUAUAUAAUUAAAGUAAAUCAAAUACUGUGUGUCGUGUAAUAAAUCAGAAAAGGCUAAAUUAUUUUAUGCAUAGAAUUAAUAUUAUAGAAGGCUAUAUUAAAUGAAUUUUGUAAUAUGAUUUCUAAUAAUACACUGAUCUAAAAUUAAAAAGAAAACUUUUUAACUUAAAAUUACUUCUUUUUGUACCAUGAACAACUUUUGAGGGAAAUGAUGUGCAAGACUGUUAUCUACAAAAGGUUGGAAAAUUCAGGACUAGGUCCAAGGUACGUGGGUCCAGGUGCUGGUGGAGAGAGAGAUGCAGGGCCAGGAAGGUAAUGAGCAGACGGUCUAGGGGAUGUUCAUUGUGGCAAGUUUGGAGAGCCUAAGCAAAAAGGAAGAUUUGUAUUUGGAAGAGAGGCCAUUUCUUUUUCUGAGAUAAAAGGGAAAAGGUACAACCUUGAAACAUUAAAAUAAACAGUUCUGUACAUACCAAAAGUCAGAACCAUCAGCUCAUUAUGUUCUCUAAGUUCUGUCUAAAAAUUCUGGAACAGUUGGUCUACUGAACGAAAGUCACCUGUGACCUGUGAUCUAUGAUCUAUGUUCUGGAGUCUGUCACCUCUAGUCUCCCUGGGGCCUGUUCAAUCAAGAGUUACUCCUUGCCCAGAUCUUCCAUCUUUUCCUCUCCAUCCACCCAUCAUGAGCUUAGGAAUGGAUACACAUUUUAACCUUAUGUUAGUCUGUCUGGGUUACUGUAACACUAUCACAGACUGGGUGAUUUAAGCAAGAGAUUUAUUUCCUCACAGUUGUGGAGGCUGGAAGUCUAAGAUCAAGCUGUUGUCAGGGUUGGUUUCUGGUGAGACUUCUCUUCUGGGCUUGCAGGUGGCUGGCCACCUUCUCACUGUGUCCUCAGGUGGCCAGCCUUUCCUCUGUGCACUGGUAGAAAGAAAGAGCUCUCUGGUGUCCCUUCCUUUUCUUGUAAGGACAUCAUCACAAUCAAAUAGGCACCAACCUCAUGACCUCUUUUAACCUUACCUACCUCGCUGAAGGUCCUACCCCCAAAUAUAGUUCAGGCUUCACCACAUUACUUUAGGAUGGGGGUGGGGAGGGCACGGUUCAUUCUGUAACAAAAUCCCAUCUUUUGCAUACAUUUUUCACUUGCUGUUUUUCCUCCACAUUCCUGGCCACACAGUUUUAAAGAGCAGUUAAUGCACACUACACUCGCUGAUGUUUUAAUUUCUAUUUCUUUGGUAGAAAACUACUUUUAUUACCCAUGUAACACUGGUCACUGCCCUCUUCUCAUACUGCAUGAAGACCAGAGAUCGAGUUAAGACUCUAAUAUUGCAUAGAAAAAACUCUCCAACUAUUAUUGAGAGCAAAUUUUAUUUUAAAUACACCCAGCUUUUAGAAAUUAAGGAAUGUUGAGUUUCAUCAUUUGUAGGUGGAUGCCGUUGUUUCCUGCUUUUAGGACUUUUCUCAGCUUCUUUGUGUUGGAAGGUCAGAUGGACCACAUUGUCUUCUUGACUUCAUGCAUCCUUUCCUUGAAGUAUGGAUGGAUAGAGAGGGGGCUACAAACUUGACUGUCAGUCUCCAGUCCUCAUCUCUGUCUUGAGGAUUCAGGUUCUGAGUAAUAUAACUUUACACGCUAGGCAAAUGCAAAUGUACUGGGCAGAAUUUCUUUUUCUGUAUAUAUUUUGAUGAUUGAAACGCCUGGGUACCACUCCUCAGUACACAGCAAGGAAAUAAUAAAUUGUACUCUGUGGAAAGGAGCAUCUUUCAGGGCUUUCAAAGAUUCCCCAUAAGGGAGACUUUCCAUCAAAAUGCUAUAUACUUCAUUGGAAAUUAAGAUUUGUGCAAAAGAAACAUAUAUAUAUAUAUUCAUAUUAUAGUUAUGUAUUACAUGCUAUAUUUUAGAUUAUGUAUUAAUAUUAUGUGUAAUGUUUAAAUCCUUUCAUGUUAUUUUUCAUAUUGAAUACUCAGUAUACUAUUUUAAAAUACUGUUUUUGUUUUUCUAAACUAGCCCACUGGAAUUAAAGUGGAACUUUUGUUUUUAACUUUAUAGAUCUUUUUUAUUUGAACUAUUUUAAUAAUAAGAUGCAUGGCUUUCAUAAAGAAAAGCAGAGAGAGAGAGAGAAGAAAAGACAGGUAAUUGCACAAUGUAUCUGCAUAUUCCCGAUCUUAGCUUGAUUAUAACUUCUUAAAAGGUCAUUUGGUAAAGGAAAUAAAUGACUUGGAAAGAACACUCCCAAGGGAAAAUUGUUUCGACCAAUUAAAUCAUCAUCAUCAUAAUAAUUUAAACCACUUUUUUUAAAAACCACUUUGGAAUUAGUUUUUUCAUGAAUACCUACAAUUCCAAAAUGAGUUUUACAAAAAUGAGUCUUGGCAACCAAUUAAAGGUUGGUCUAGUCCAAUUUAUUUGAUUUUCUCUAGAACAGAGAAAGCUGAAGAAGAUUCCUAGAAACGAUAGCCAUUUCAGCUAUCCCCACACGAUCAUAUUUUUUGAAAAGCCUCUUAUAUGGAUUUUUGUUAUAAUUUAAAAUAUUGUACCUUCUUUUUUUCUCAUCAAAUACACUGCAGUAACUUUGAAGCAGUCUGCUUUCCUACGCUUUCUAUAAACCUGCAUGGUGCAGACACAUCCCACACACACUAAAGCCUCAUUAUUUUCUUUGGUUAAAAAAUGAGCCUAAUAAACCAUCUUCAGUUAUUAUUGCUAACUUUAUUUAGAAACAAAGUGCCGUCAUCUGCAUGCUAAUGAUCAUCUUUAUAACAAACUCAUUGUUACAUUAAAGGCAAAAGCAUCCUCUUACUUACUUAAAUAUAUAUUUAAAUUUAUUUUUACAAGUAGAGCAACAAGGAUGAAGUUGUAAUAUUACUGGUUAUUUGCUAAGCAAAUCUUUCUCUCUAAAGUGACUAUAAAACUAAGAAACAGCUUUCACAUGUAGCUUAUUGCAUGGAAAUAACAGGCUCUGUGAGCUUAUACAAACAUGUGAUGUUUCAUGUUUUAGGUUCACUCUGUAUGAAAUAUCUUAACACAUAAAAUACCUUUUAUAUUCUUUUAUAGCAUUCUUUUAUGAUUCUUCAAAAGCAAGACCACACAUCAACAACAAAACAUACAUACAUCCCUGUUAUUUAUUUCAUAUGACACAUUUGAGUAAGAGGACUGGAUGAUAAGAAAGGAGAGAAAAGGAGUUCCUUGGUGGCCUAGUGAUUAAGGAUUCAGUGUUGUCACUGCUAUGGCUCAGGUGUGAUCCUUGUCCCAGGAACUUAAACAUGUACAGGCAUGGCAAAAAAAAAAAAAAAA